GCACCCGUGGAGCAGUAGUAUAGCUCAUUCCCCUCCCAUGCCGUGGCGUGGCGUAGCUGGGUAAGGGGAAGACCCGGGUGCAAAUCCCGGUGGGUGCA